AGGUCAUUUCAAAGAGGGCUGAUAGGACCGAACAGAUAGGCUCUUGUUGCUGUGACCAAAGAUUGAGUUCUCCAGGGGAUGUAAUAGUCACUCAACAGUGCUAUGUUUUCCUGAUGGAGACAGAAGA